rnacentral:tRNA from 1 species
GCAGUCGUGGCCGAGUGGUUAAGGCGAUGGACUCGAAAUCCAUUGGGAUAUUCCCGCGCAGGUUCGAAUCCUGCCGGCUGCG